rnacentral:tRNA from 1 species
GGGACUAUAGUUAAUAAUAACAUUUGAGUUGCAUUCAAAAAGUACUACCAACCAGUAGUUAGCCUCA